UAACCCCACUCCUGGCUGGAUUUAACCCCACUCCUGGCCGGGUUUAACCCCUCUCCUGGCCGGGAAAUGCUGCUCCAGCUCUCCCUCAGGUUCCCAGGAGAGGGCACCGUGCUCCAGAGAUCCGGGCAGAGCCGGGUUUGGGGCUGGGGAUGGGCUGGGGAUCGGGCUUUGGCCGCAGGUAAAAUCCAGGAUGUCAGGAUGGGAGCUGCAGCCGCCUCUGGAGGAGCUGGUGCUGAUUUUUUCCCUCCUACAGGACCCUGAGCUGUCCCAGUUUGAGCAGUUCCAGGUCCCAUGGACCAUCCCUGCCUCACUGGGAUUAUUUGUGGGUCUGGUUUUCUCCACAGAGCUGACACUUAUUGACAGAUAUUCCAUUCUGUAUGGGAAAAUCAGGAUUAAUUCCUUUCUCUCAGUUGGGCUCCCUGGGCUCUGUCUCACACAGUUUGCUAACAAACAUUUUAAACCUUUGGUGGUGCAAAAUAAAAAGUUGUGUGAGCUGCUGG